rnacentral:rRNA from 1 species
GUGAAUCAUCGAAUCUUUGAACGCACCUUGCGCCCUUUGGUAUUCCGAAGGGUACGCCCGUUUGAGUGUCAUUGUAAUCUCACUACGAUCGACUUUUUGUCCUUUGUAUGUGGACUUGGAUGUUGCCGUGUAACAAACGGCUCGUCUGAAAUGCCUGAGUGUACCCUGCUUUUGCAGCGUAUUCGGUGUGAUAAAUCUUUACCGGAGUUGACUUUUCAAGUCACGCUUGUAGCUGUAGGCUCUAUGCUUCCAACUGUCCAACAAGACAAUCUUUGACAAUUUGACCUCAAAUCGGGUGGGACUACCCGCUGAACUUAAGCAUAUCAAUAAGCGGAGG